AAAGGAACUAAGGGCGCACA
rnacentral:rRNA from 1 species